AGGCUGCAACUCGCCUACAUGAAGCCGGAAUCGCUAGUAAUCGUGGAUCAGCAUGCCACGGUGAAUACGUUCCCGGGCCUUGUACACACCGCCCGUCACACCACGAGAGUUUGUAACACCCGAAGUCGGUAGGGUAACCUUUAUGGAGCCAGCCGCCGAAGGUGGGACAGAUAAUUGGGGUGAAGUCGUAACAAGGUAGCCGUAUCGGAAGGUGCGGCUGGAUCACCUCCUUUCUAAGGAA
rnacentral:rRNA from 1 species